UAGUUCGGAUUGUAGGCUGAAACUCGCCUACAUGAAGCUGGAAUUGCUAGUAAUCACAGGUCAGCAUACUGUGGUGAAUACGUUCCCGGGCCUUGUACACACCGCCCGUCACACCAUGAGAGUUGAGAAUACCCGAAGCCCAUGUCAAAGUGGUCGAAGGUAGGCUUGAUGAUUGGGUGAAGUCGUAACAAGGUACC
rnacentral:rRNA from 1 species